rnacentral:rRNA from 1 species
GAGCUUGCUCUUCUUGGAUGAGUUGCGAACGGGUGAGUAACGCGUAGGUAACCUGCCUGGUAGCGGGGGAUAACCUACUGGAAACGAUAGCUAAUACCGCAUGAUAUUAAUUGUCGCAUGAUAAUUAAUUGAAAGAUGCAAUUGCAUCACUACCAGAUGGACCUGCGUUGUAUUAGCUAGUUGGUGAGGUAACGGCUCACCAAGGCGACGAUACAUAGCCGCCUGAGAGGGUGAUCGGCCACACUGGGACUGAGACACGGCCCAGACUCCUACGGGAGGCAGCAGUAGGGAAUCUUCGGCAAUGGGGGGAACCCUGACCGAGCAACGCCGCGUGAGUGAAGAAGGUUUUCGGAUCGUAAAGCUCUGUUGUAAGAGAAG